UUGAGAUAGAGAGAGGGAGAAGAGAAACCGAGAGUGAGGAAUUCGUCUCCCUUCGCCGGUAGUUCGUCUGAAUCGUCUCGACCUUCUGGGAAAGCUAGCUCGCCCGUCACCGUUCGUCGCAGCAAGCUCCCGAACCAGGUAACCCCCCGGAAACGCUCCACUUCUCUCUUGAUUAUUAUUAAGUUCGAGAACGCAAGACCAAACUGACGGAAUUUGAGCAAACCGUAGAAAACCCAAACUUUUUGUUGCGCAUAAUGUUGAAAUGGAGCUUAAUAUGAUGGGUUUAUGCCACGAACGACGUUGAAUCCGAGCCUGGAAGUGGUAUUCCGAGUCGCACAUCAACUGUUUGACAAAAUGUCUGAAUGAAGCACCGAAUUUGAGUUCUUAAAAACGAUGCUUAAAAUCUUUGUUUUGCGCUCGAUUUGUCCUAAUAUCGAUGUAUUAAACCUGCGCUUCUCUUUGAUGUUGUGGUAUAUCGUUCGAUGCCCGAGUCGGUCAUGGAUGAAUGUCUUCUCGUCAGAAAACCCGCACCCUUCGCUGGAGGAGCCCACGGUUAGAGGCCGCCAUAAUCAGUCUCUUCAUUUUGUCUCGGCGUGCAUAUAUGUGGUUGAGCUGUUAGAAUGGUGGUUGAACUCGAAAUUAUAUAUAUGUUUGGUAUCAUCGAAGCCGUCGGCGACGUCUGGCGACGCCCGGAAUGAUGACCAGCGGUGACGACCGGAUGAGAGUCGGAGAGGUUGAUGGUCGGCGCCGGACCGGUUGAGAUUCUGGCGUGAGUCCUUGUGGCGAAGUCUCAGUUUUGAGUUCGUCCAUGAGUAACUUUCGGUGAAGGCGUGGUCCUGGUGAAGUCCCAGGGAAGAAGACGACGUGAAGAGAAGAGAAAAGUAAAAAGGAAAAGAAAAGAAAAAAGAAAUAAAAAGGGGUGAUGAAAAGAAAUGAGAAAAGACAAAAGGGGAGAAAGGACGGCAGAUGGGGACGUUAGGUGAAGGAGUGGGGGAGUGCAGUGAAUAGGACAAAACAGGGAAAGGACAAAAAGAGAAAAAAGAAAGAAAGAAAAACUAAAAAACUAAAAAAAUUUCAUUUUUAUCCGAUUGGGUCGGAUCCGGAUUUGGGUCGGGUCAGCGAGUCGGAUCGGGUUUGUCCGGUCCGAACCCGUUUUCCCGAAUAUUAUAAUAUUAAAUAUUUAAAAUAUAUUUUAAAAAUAAAAAAUUGAAAAAAAAUUAAAAAUAUAUGUCAAAAAGUCAUAAAAAAUUCAAAAAAAAUUUCCGAAAAUUCAAAAACUUUCAAAGAACAUCAAAAAAUUCAAAAAUUUUCAGAAAAUAUUGAAAAUUCGAGUUUUUAGUAAAAAAAUUAAUUAAAAAAGAAAUUUUAGAAAAUUAAGGAAAAUUAAAAAAUUCUCAGAAAAUUUCAAAAUUCAGAAAAUUCUAAAAAUUUCAGUAGUAAUUAGCUAGACACCAAUAAAUAAAUAAAUAAAAGAUUUAAAAAAAAUCAAAAGGAUUUGGAAAAUUCAAAAAUUCAAUUUUUCCGAAAAAUCCAAAAAAAAUUCUAAAAAUAAAAAAUCUUCGACAAGGUUAAUUCUUGGUUUAUUUUCUCUUGAAAAAAAAUGGAAGUCUUUCAGUUUAGAAUCCUAUUCAAGAGGUUCUAGUUGUUCUUAAAGACGAAUAUCCUUGAUUGUGCAAUUUUGGUAUGUUAAUUUUGGCUUCCAUUUAGUCUAGUUAGGAUUAGUAUUUAUCUUUUAUUUGAUGUUAAAUUUUUGCUCUCCCAUGCAAUUUAUUUAAAUGCUUUCCUUGGUUGCUAAUUAUUAUUUUAAUGAUUGUGCACCCGUAUGAUUACCUCACAUAUUAGUGAAUAUGUAUAAAAUCAAUUCAAAUUACCUGACAAAAAUAUAUUUUCUUUUAAUGAACAAAAAUUAGGUACCAAAAGGAUACUAAUUAAUUAAUUAGUGUAAUAAAGUCUCAACUCUAGAUUCUUUAGUUGUGUAAUAAGUGAGGUACACUCCUAUACCUCACUUGGUUUCUAGCGAACCCCAAUAGGCUAGUGUCAGCUUCUUAUUGUUAAAUGAACAACCCAAUGUCGCGCGAGGUAUGGGCUUGGGAGAGUCAUGACUUAACCAUGGGCCGUGAGCCUGUCUUUAAGUAAUACUCUUAAACCUACUUCCUUCCCCGAGGGUAGGUCGCGACAAGUAGUAACGUUAAAUCCCUUACCUCGGCAUGGUGUACCCGACCAAUCAGUGGGGUUGAAGAAUAGAUAGAUGGCAGCUGAUUUGAAGGGUAAUUUUUUUUAUUUUUUUUUGUAAAAUUGUAUUUUGGAGGAAAAGGAAAAUGUUCAAAUGCCUCUUGGUAUUGGAGUAUAGGGUUGCCAAUGAGAUAAAUCCAAAAGAAGACAAAGGAAUUUAUAACUCUUUUGAUUGUUUUAAUUAUUUAAUGUGAUGAGCCUAAGUUGGCCUGUCCGCCCAUGUUGGGUCUAAAAGCUUGGCCCACAAAAUUAGGGCCCAUGGAUGGAGGGAUACGUUGAAGAGUUGUAACUUUUGGGGGGACGUUUUUUGCUAAAGGGACGCGUCUUUUGGAGAAGAUGUAUUUAAUGGGAGAAAAGAAAAAGAAAACGUACCUUUUGGAGAAAAAACGUAUGCUUUUCUUUUCUCCCUCUCCCAAAAACCAAGGUAACUCGUCCCCCCCUUUUAAACUCCUUGGUAGACCGGAAUCAAAUUCUUCCUUGAACUUCAACAUUGGUGUUUAAUCUGUGGACAAUAAGGUACGCUCGAUUAUGUAGUGUAAUUUUCGAUCGGUGAUACAUGUUAUUCCUGAGCUCGUCUUUUGCAUUCGUUUUAAGGGCUUGAUUUAGUGUCGAAUCCGGUUUUUGGGAAUCCGACAAUCCCAAUAUCUUUCUAUUCAAUAUUGAGACCAUUGCUUGAUAGAGAUGUUCCUUCUCUAACAUUCUAUCCGGUUUUUCCUUUGUAAUUUCCUCUCUAUUUCCCUACGAGCACAUUGCCCCAAUGCUGCUGACCAGAAGUGGUACAAGGUACUUUGGUUGUAGGCCAAUCGGCUUUCUUCUAUUUCAUACCAUGACAUGUUGGUGCAUCAAAAUUGGUGGGUCUAAUGUGAAUCCCGCGUGGAUUUGACUAGAUAUAAACCGUCAAGAUUCAAUCGAGUACAUGUGCGAACUCACUGAAUAAUUCAUUGACCCAAAGAGGAUGGAGAUGAGAAAGUGUAUGAACCGAUUGCUAGUGAAUGGAAUUUGAUGAUGUUUGAGACUUGGGGAUGGGAAUUAUGUGAAUUCCCUUUCGACGAUAUGCAACUAGAGCCGUUAUGAUUUGUCAAUCAACCAUUUUCUUUAAGAAUUAUUUUCACAAAUAACAUUUUCUUUCAUCAAGAAAUUUUCUGCGAAACAAAUCUAUAUUUUAAAAUAACUAGAUUUACAAAGCAAUUGUCCUUAAAGGUGGCCAUGAGGCCGUGCCUGGAGCCUCGAACGAACUCACAUAGACAAAGCAUCAGUUGUAGAAAGACGGCUGGUCCGUGGGGUUUGAGUGUAGAAUUUGAGUGUCCAUGAGGCCAAAUGUGUAUUUUUAGGUUGGUGAAAUACAAAAUAUAAUUUUGAAAUGUGAGGAUAGAAUUUGAAAUAGAGAGUAAAGGUGAUUAUUAUUGUCCCCAUCUAUUUUUUCUCUUCUUCUUUUAUUAACUAGGUGAUUCUGACCAAAAAAAAAAAAAAACUAGGUGAUUAUAAUUUUUAGAGACCAUCAGGAUUACUCCCUUAUCGAUAUGUAUCCGAUUCGCAUCACCUUCUUCCUAUCUAAUGGAAAAUCUGAUCAGCCCUCAAAUCGAUACUUCUGAACUUACUUUAACAGACAAUAACAAAUUAAGAGUCAAACCCAAGAGUCGUGAUGAUGUAUUUAGCUAGCAAAAUGAACAACCGAAGAGAAAUGGUGUGCGAGUCAGCUCUUUCCAGGUUUAUUUUUUAUGCAUUACUUAAGCCAAGCUGAAUUGACAGCUCUCUCCUGUUUGUAGCCACUGAAUUGAAGCAGCAAACCGAUUGAUUUGGUCGGCUCUUUCCCUUUUUUUGGUGGAACUAAAGCUUUGCCGCAACUUGGCGCGGGGUGGUGCACCUCUGGCAGCGUCUUGCCCGCAAGUCGUGCAGCAGCAGCGCCUUGGCUUGGCGUGGCGUGGCGUGAUCCAAACGAGCAAGCCAUAGGACCCCGAACUUGACGAGCAAGAUGUAGGCCAGCAGAUAUGGCUCCCAAAGGGGACGGAAGGUGACAUAGCGUUCUCAAAUCGAUCCUCGAAUGGGCUCUGCAAACUGCAAGUCGUGGCUUCUCCAAGGUCGCAAUCCGGCAAUGUAGCCACCUUGUGGGCCAGGUUAGAAUUUAUUUUGCAGAUCCCAAUACGAUGGUUCCUCCAGUUCAGUCAGGAAUUCAUUAAUCCAUUCUCGCCUGAGCAAGCGAGCUACAUCUCCCCUCAGCUGCAUCGCCUGGUGCUGUGCUUCUCCGGCGUCACUGUCGCCUGGAUUCUUGCAAUGCCAGGACGACACAGAUGGGUUGGGUCCCUUGGGGUCUCUAAUCUGCUCUUUCUCUGAUCAUAAAUUUCGUGCUAUUAUUGCAAUUUAGUACUUCCGUUUGCAUGUUGAUACCAUAAUUUUAGUAUUAUUUUCUUUAGACAUGCAGUGUUGAUGAGGUGCCAGCGUUCAGACCAAGAAUCAAAAGAAUAAAAAAUAAAACGACGCCCAUGGCCGGAGGAGGGUCGUCGGUCCUUGUUCGCGAUAUGUAUGGUGGCCCACCUCCAUUGGGGCUCUCUCUCUCUCGCUCGCUC
rnacentral:lncRNA from 1 species